UCCGGCGUGGUCUAGUGGCUAGGAUACCUGGCUUUCACCUAGGAGGCCCGGGUUCGAUUCCCGGCGUCGGAG
rnacentral:tRNA from 1 species